AUGAAACAAACUUCUAUGGUUGAGGAAUGAAAGGAGGGAAGGGAGGGAAGAAUCCAAAUUUAGGAUGUUGGAAAGGAGGAAGGUUGGGGAGUGGAGGGCAGGGUUUCUUAUAGAAUGGUGGGAGUGGUUUAUAAAUUGGAAUUGGAGGUGGAAGUGGCUUUACUAUUGGAGGAAUGUAAAUUGGUGGCUUUGGCUUGUAGAUUGGAAUUGGAGGUGGAAGUGGCUUUACUAUUGGAGGGAUGUAAAUUGGUGGCUUUGGCUUGUAGAUUGGAACUGGUGGUGGUAGUGGCUUUACUACCGGGGGUAUGUAAACCGGUGGCUUUGGCUUGUAGGUUGGAACUGGUGGUGGUAGUGGCUUUAUUAUCGGAGGUAUGUAAAUCGGUGGCUUUGGCUUUGGUUUGUAGAUAGGAACUGGUGGUGGAAGAGGCUUUACUACCGGAGGUUUGUAAACUGGUGGCUUUGGCUUUGGUUUGUAGAUUGGAACUGGUGGUGGAAGCGGCUUUACUGGAGGCUUUGGCUUGUAAAUAGGGACAGGUGGAGGAAGUGGCUUUGGUUUGUAAAUGGGGACGGGUGGAGGAAGCGGCUUUUUGUAAAUGGGAACUGGGGGAGGAAGUGGCUUUGGUUUGUAAAUGGGGACGGGUGGAGGAAUCGGCUUUUUGUAAAUGGGAAUUGGGGGAGGAAGUGGCUUUGGUUUGUAGAUGGGGACGGGUGGAGGAAGCGGCUUUUUGUAAAUGGGAACUGGGGGAGGAAGUGGCUUUGGUUUGUAGAUGGGGACGGGUGGAGGAAGCGGCUUUUUGUAAAUGGGAACUGGGGGAGGAAGAUUGUAAAUGGGGACGGGCGGAGGAAGCGGCUUUUUGUAAAUGGGAACUGGGGGAGGAAGUGGCUUUGGUUUGUAAAUGGGGACGGGUGGAGGAAUCGGCUUUUUGUAAAUGGGAAUUGGGGGAGGAAGAUUGUAAAUGGGGACGGGCGGAGGAAGCGGCUUUUUGUAAAUGGGAACUGGGGGAGGAAGUGGCUUUGGUUUGUAAAUGGGGACGGGUGGAGGAAGCGGCUUUUUGUAAAUGGGAACUGGGGGAGGAAGUGGCUUUGGUUUGUAGAUG
rnacentral:lncRNA from 1 species